AUUCUUUCUCUUAAAAUAAGAUGUUGAUUUCGACAUUUACAAUUCUAUACAAUUUUCUCAAAUUAAUGCGAAAUCAAAUUUCAUCUUAGGCAAGCGGAAAAUACAUCACAUCUUAUCAUAAAGAAAAUUGUGUAUGCAUACAAAAUCAUUACAUGUACGUGAAAUGGUUCAAUUCUCCAAUUUUAACAGUUACCUUCUUCUUAGUAAUAG
rnacentral:lncRNA from 1 species